ACUUAAAUAGUUUAAAUAAAAAUUUUAAUUUGUGGGAUUAAAGAUGUAAAGUUAUUUAUUUUAGGUA
rnacentral:tRNA from 1 species